rnacentral:lncRNA from 1 species
GGAGAAGUGCAAUAAUGCAAGCAAAAAACUGUAAUCGGAACAUGGUAGUCAUGAUUCAUUGCAUUAGAAACUAGAAAAGGCAAAGGUGAACAGAAAGCUUCCAUAAUGUCAAAUUACAAAGAACAAAAGAUGGCAUCUGCCCGAAACUCAUAUCCUGAACAGAGACUUUAAAACACACAUAAAAACAUACAUGUGUAUCAAGAGCCAUUUGGAGGGCAAAGAACCACAAUACAAAAGUCCGAUAAGGUACAGAAAUCCAUGCAGUAUUUUCAUGGCAAGAACUGCACAUUCUCAAGAAUGCAGUCUCAAAAUUCAUUUAGAGCCAGAAGCCACAUCCACUUGGAAAAAAUAAUGUUUCCGAAGAUGGGCCAUAUGUUAUAGAAUUCAACGAAAAAGAAAAACAGGACAAGCUCAUAAACAAGAAUAUAAAUGAAUUCCUAAUAUUAAGCCAAUAAGAAGAAAUGGCACAUCAUAAAGAUGAUGCAGCUUAAGGACCUAGCAUGCGCAAUUAGAGAAGAAUAAACAAAGUUCUCUAAAACCACUCCCAGGUAAAUAAAGUAUUCUGCCCUUGAGGCAUGGCCUCAAGUAGUAGAGGGUGGGUUUGGGUUUGAGUGACGUUCCAGGUAUGAGUCCCAAUGGGAAGAAAAUAUGCAAAAAAAAAGUAAUUACCUAUCAAUAAAAAAAAAACAUAAAUAAUGAAUUCUAUUCUACCAUAUGAUUUUUUGAACUUCUUCGUUAAAUUACAUUUCAAAAUGUAAAACUACUUUUAGGUGUCAAGAUUGAACUAGAGACUUCGACUCUCAAGGUAUUGUCUAAAAAAUCUUCAUAAUAAGGAUCAAAAAUGACAAAAUCCACAAUGUUCUCAGUGCCUAUUCCCAAUUGGAAAGACAAAUUCUGUAUUGGUGUCUUAAGUCAAUAAACACCACUUAAACAACAAAUUCAUUAUCAACAAACUUACAUUUGCAAUUCUCAAAAAAAGCUAGUCCAGGGAACCACAGUCCAAAAGAUCAUUAACGACACUAUUUAUGAAUCAUUUUAAAAGGUAUUGAAGUUGGGGCCGCAAAGUAGUGCUCGUGUUCAUGAUAACUACAUGCAUCCAAUCCCAUAUGUCAAUUUCAACUUACUUUUAAGGAAAGUUAAACCAUUAACUAAAACUAGAACCACAGUCCAAAAGAUCAUUAACGACACUAUUUAUGAAUCAUUUUAAAAGGUAUUGAAGUUGGGGCCGCAAAGUAGUGCUCGUGUUCAUGAUAACUACAUGCAUCCAAUCCCAUAUGUCAAUUUCAACUUACUUUUAAGGAAAGUUAAACCAUUAACUAAAACUAGAUUGGCUUCACAACCAUUAUAAACAGGACAGUUCCCAAUAAGACUAGUUCAAUAAACAGACAGAAGUAAUGCUUCGAUGAAUUACCAAGAUAAGAUCUUUAGGAUUCAAUGCCAAGCUUGAAAGGAUAAACAAGAAGAAAUCUCAUUGAUGUUCUCAUGCACUAGAGUCAGCCCAAUUUGGAA